ensembl:lncRNA
UUUCUGAUCUGUCUGAAAGUCGCUCAGUCGUGUCGGACUCUUUGCGACCCCGUGGACUAUAUACAGUCCGUGGAAUUCUCCAGGCUAGAAUACUGGAGUGGAUAGCCUUUCCCUUCUCCAGGGGAUCUUCCCAAUCCAGGGAUCGAACCCAGGUGUUCCGGAUCGCAAGCGGAUUCUUAACCAGCUGAGCCACAAGGGACCCAUGGCCAUUAGCAUCAAUUCCACGAACAAUUUUUAAAGCCUGGAUUGAGGACAGUAUCGCUGUAGCGGGCUCUGGUUACUGGAUCUAGAGAAAGAAGCGAGAUUUGCUCCACUUUUGGCUGCUUUAUCAUUCGCUGAGUCAUCUGGGAAGCUGUUAAAACGACCCCAAACAAAAAACCUGAAUGAAACAAACAACUAAACAGCUUCCCGAGUAGGGUUGGGAAUUCCUGGAUUAGGGCCAACCCAGCUCCUACGCAGUGCCUGCCAUGAAAACGUGCCCGAAUCCUCCCUGAAGACUGGCGUGGCCUUGAGUCAUCGUCUGACAAGAUCUGCUAAUGGGGUCAUUGCAGACAGCCACAAACCCCCAACGUCUGAGCGGGCUGGGGCUGCUGCCAAGGGGUUUCGCCUGCCUCCACCUCCCGCCUUCUCCGGUUCCCCAUCCAAGCUGAUGCUUGUAAAGGAAACAUCUUUUCAGGCGAGGGGACUGUGUGUUUGGUUUGUCUUUGUUGCCUGGAAACUGUUGACAUCCCGAGACAUUCUGUUGCCUGCGCUGGCUCAUGAAAAAUUGAUGACUUUUUUUCUCUGUCAACAAACUCGCAGCCUGUUCACCUUGACUGGGAAGGGGCGGGAAGCUUGCUCCCUGCUCCGCUCCGCAGCUGUUUGCUUUCUUUCGAGCUGUUGAGUUUGCUUUCCUUAGAGGUGGGGGUGGGGCCAGAGACAGUGGGGCCAGCUGAGUGUGGCCGUGUGUAGGCGACUGCUGCUAAGGUGGAGAGGGCUGGCCUUGCUUCCCUCGAGUGCUCCUUCAGUUCCACCAAGUGCCUUUCCCAGCUGAUCUGAAGCACCUUUCCCUUCCGAGGCAUCCCCUGGGCAUCCCCUGCCCAGAGGCCUUCCCUGGCCUCGCCAGCCCUGGAUCCUCCUUGCCCUCUGGGGUCAGCCUGCCAGGCACGACUACUGUCCGUUUCCAUUCCUCUCGGUCUGGUUUCUCCUCUUGGCAGCAGAAUAGCCUUGCUGCCCAUCUCCCCAGACCAGCAGCACGUUAGGUUUAGGAGGGAUCUCAGAGAGCAUUUGUGGAAGAGGAAGCUCAGAGUGGCAGGGUGAUGUGACCAUCUAGUUAGCUUUUGGCCUCGUGUACAGCAUUCACUGGUGGUCUCCCCCACCAGGGAACGAACCUGUGCCCCCAGCACUGGAAGUGUUUUUCCUGUGCGUGUGUGCUCAGCCAUGUCUGACUCCUUGUGACCCGAGGAGUCUUAACCACUGGACCACCAUGGAAGUCCCAAAGAGUAAGGCCAUUUUUUUUUUCUUUUGGUUGCGCUGUGUGUCAUAGACCAUGUAAUUUUGGACUCAAACUCCCCUUUGCCCUACAUCAGAUUAAGACCCCCACCCCAUGCCUCCCAGCUUGCCAGGGGAAGGAUCUGUGUCCCCACUGGCCUCCUUGGCUCCGACAGCCUCAGGUCUCCUGCAGAUGGAGAGAUAUGCUUUCUAAGCACUGUCUUUGGGGUCUGCCCCGGGGAUCCCUAAGGCCUAAGCUAUCCCUUUGCUCCAGCUGCCCAUCCAAGGAUGCACCGUGAGUCAGCAUCAGGACCCAAGUCUCAGCAUGACAGAGUCCUCGCCUCUGCUGAGUCAGUGCCCCAGGGAAUGGAUUCCUUUAUACCUGGCCAUAGGACCUCAAGCAGACCUUUUUGCCCAGUGGCCAUUUGGACCAGUGCCACUCAAAGUGUGGUCCCUGAACUCUGCUGGCUCACAGACUGUUGUUACUUGAAGACAGGAACCAGAGGUACUCACUGAGAACUUGAGAGGAAGCAUUUAGAAACUUUUAUAGCAAUUUGACAUUGCCACAUCAUUCAAGCAGCAUUUUAUU